rnacentral:rRNA from 1 species
AAUUGGAGGGCAAGUCUGGUGCCAGCAGCCGCGGUAAUUCCAGCUCCAAUAGCGUAUAUUAAAGUUGUUGCAGUUAAAAAGCUCGUAGUUGAAUUUCGGGAUUGACACGUCGGUCGUGCCCUAAGGGGUAUGAACUGGCGUAGUCAAUUUCUCACCUUCUGGAGAACCGCGCUGUCCUUAAUUGGGUGACGCGGGGAACCAGGACCUUUACUUUGAAAAAAUUAGAGUGUUUAAAGCAGGCAUUUUGCUUGAAUACAUUAGCAUGGAAUAAUAAAAUAGGACGGCAUGAUUCUAUUUUGUUGGUUUCUAGGAUCACCGUAAUGAUUAAUAGGGAUAGUUGGGGGCAUUAGUAUUCAAUUGUCAGAGGUGAAAUUCUUGGAUUUAUUGAAGACUAACUACUGCGAAAGCAUUUGCCAAGGAUGUUUUCAUUAAUCAAGAACGAAAGUUAGGGGAUCGAAGACGAUCAGAUACCGUCGUAGUCUUAACCAUAAACUAUGCCGACUAGGAAUCAGACGAUGUUAAUUUUUUAAUGACUCGUUUGGCACCUUACGGGAAACCAAAGUGU